rnacentral:rRNA from 1 species
AUUGAACGCUGGCGGCAUGCCUUACACAUGCAAGUCGAACGGUAACAGGUCUUCGGACGCUGACGAGUGGCGAACGGGUGAGUAAUACAUCGGAACGUGCCCAGACGUGGGGGAUAACGAGGCGAAAGCUUUGCUAAUACCGCAUACGAUCUAAGGAUGAAAGCAGGGGACCGCAAGGCCUUGUGCGUUUGGAGCGGCCGAUGGCAGAUUAGGUAGUUGGUGGGAUAAAAGCUUACCAAGCCGACGAUCUGUAGCUGGUCUGAGAGGACGACCAGCCACACUGGGACUGAGACACGGCCCAGACUCCUACGGGAGGCAGCAGUGGGGAAUUUUGGACAAUGGGCGAAAGCCUGAUCCAGCAAUGCCGCGUGCAGGAUGAAGGCCUUCGGGUUGUAAACUGCUUUUGUACGGAACGAAAAGGCUCUGGCUAAUACCUGGGGCACAUGACGGUACCGUAAGAAUAAGCACCGGCUAACUACGUG